AUGGUGUUGUCUGAUUCCUAUGGAAGAACUCAAACCAGGAUAUUCAGGAACCAAUCACAAUUAUUUUCCUGUCUUUUCUCAACAAAAAUGGACUCACUUAAGACUCAACAUCUUUCCAGUUCACUAAAGGGUCUUUCUCAGCUCUGGAUCCAUGUCUACUUGGACUUGGUUUUGACCUGAAGGAUUCUAGUCUUCAAAAAGAAGGGUCUGUAUCUUUUUUUCAAUCUCUUUGGCUCGUUAUGCUCUCUCCCCAAAGCCCUUGGGAAAACUGUCUAAAAUUUAGGUUCAGCUAUGUGUAGUAUCUCUCAAAAAGUGGGAAGUAGGAAGGUGUUCACUGUACAGUUUAGGUCAGGCAUAGGACAGCUAUUUCCUUUACACAGAAGUUGUGCUAAAUACUCACAAGGGCCAUUGGUUCAUGCUAUAAGAAAAACUUGAUGAAGCAAUAGCAAUAAUAUAACUAUUGUUACACUUUCUUGGGAGGUUGAGGUUUGAACAUUAUAAUAUGAAACAGUUUGUAGGAUCAUUGAAUUGGAAUUUCACUUAAAUACUUUUCUUCAUUUGCUCUAUGUUACAGCAAACUAGGAUGGCAGCUAGUUUUGCAGUAACAUAGGAGGUAGAUAGGGGAGGUGCAAGACCUGGAAUUAGGAGGAUCUGAGUUUAAAUCCAGAUACAGACACAUACUAACUGUGUGACCCUGGGCAAUUCAUUUAACUUCUGUCUACUUCACUUUCCUUUUCUCUAAAGUAGGGAUAAUAAGAGCACCUAACUUUUAAGGCUGUUAUAAGGAUCAACUGAGAUAACAUUUAUAAAAUGCUUAACAUAUAGUGGGCAGCUGGGUGGCUCAGUGGAUUGAGAGUCAGGUCUAGAGAUGGGAGGUCCUAGGUUCAAAUCUGGCCUCAGAUGCUUCCCAGCUGUGCGACCCUGGGCAAGUCACUUAACCCCCAUUGCCUAGGCUUCCCUGAUCUUCUGACUUAGAACCAAUACAUAGUCUUGAUUCCAAGAUGGAAGGUAAGGGUUUAAAAAAAAUGCUUAACAUAGUGCCUGGCCUAUAAUAGGCAUUUAAUAGAUGCUUGUUUCCUUCUUGCCUCCUCUACUUGACUUUCCUUUGAAGCUUGGCACUCCAUUUUCUGCCUCAGUGUUUUUGUUUUUAAACCCUCAACUUCUGUUUUGGAAUCUAUUCAAGCAAUUGUCCCAAGGCAGAAGAGCAGUAAGAGAUAGGUAAUUGGGAUUAAGUGACUUCCUGGGAAGUAUCUGAGGGCACAUUUGAACCCAGGGCAUUCUGCCUAGCUCUCUAUCCACUGUCACAUUCCCUCAAUUCAUUAAAAAGAAACCUGAACCUUUAUCUUCUGCAUUAGAAGCAAUACUAAGUAUCAGUUCCAAGGCAGAAGAGACGUAAGGGUGAAACAAUUGGGAUUAAGUGAUUUGCGUAGGCUCACACAUCUGGGAAAUACCCUCAAUUCAUUUUAACAAACUUUGUGUAACACUAAUAAAAUAGUUUGUUCGGAUUCA
rnacentral:lncRNA from 1 species